ACUGGUGUAUAACCAACCGAUAUUCUUUAGGGUCGAAAAGAUUUCGUUAAGCAAGCUGAGAAAGCCAAACCAGACGCAAGCACCGCCGAAAUCCAGCCAGCUGCCACCGAGGAACCUGAAAAUAUUUACGAGACUAUAGAGGAUGUGAAACCAGGGACCGACUUGGGAGAAGGUCAAAUGAAGAGACCUCGAAAGAGAAAUGCAGGGAACAAACAGCCCGAGAAGAUCACAGUUUCCACUUUGAAAAACCUCAACAUCUACAAGGAAGGAGGUCAAUAUGUCAUCGAGGCCUGAACCAAUCAGAAACCAUAUCUUUUGGAAAGCUGUCAGGCGCACGUAAUCAUUCAAAGGUUCAGUCACAUCACAGUAGAACUGCUGGCCGUCAAAUAGCUGCAAUGUGGACACUUAACGCAUUUUCCUCUUCGUAGAAAUGUUAUCUCGAAUAAUUAGAUUCUAGAGAGAGUCAUGACCACUAUAACAGCUUAAAUUUUUGUAGAACAAAUAGCAUUUAAACUUGUUACAUAAAUCUACUCACAGAGUAAUAACCGAGUUACCAGUCAGCGGACACCCAUUAGAACUCUAAUACUGAAACAAACGAUCCCAUCAUUUCAAGAGAAAAGACACCUUGGUGAAAUUAUAUCAAGCAAAUCUUUCCACCAUACAGUUGAAAUGGAGAAUAGUGAUUCAA